rnacentral:rRNA from 1 species
GGGGAAUAUUGCGCAAUGGGGGAAACCCUGACGCAGCAACGCCGCGUGAGUGAAGAAGGCCUUCGGGUUGUAAAGCUCUGUCAAUAGGGAAGAAAGCUCUUAUGUAAAAAGCAUGAGAGAUGACGGUACCUGAAGAGGAAGCCCCGGCUAACUACGUGCCAGCAGCCGCGGUAAUACGUAGGGGGCGAGCGUUGUCCGGAAUUACUGGGCGUAAAGGGCGUGUAGGCGGUUUCGUAAGUUAGGUGUGAAAACCUAGGGCUCAACCCUGGGACUGCAUCUAAAACUGUGAGACUUGAGGAUGAGAGAGGAAAGUGGAAUUCCUAGUGUAGCGGUGAAAUGCGUAGAUAUUAGGAGGAACACCAGUGGCGAAGGCGACUUUCUGGCUCAUACCUGACGCUGAGGCGCGAAAGCGUGGGGAGCAAAC